rnacentral:lncRNA from 1 species
UCAGAUCUUUAUUAUAAUAUAAAAGAGGAAUACAAAAGAUCAUGCAAAAGUAAACAAACUAUCGGAACAAUUUCAGCGAUCUCCUGAGAUGUGAUGACUAGCCAGCCAUGGGAAAGUUCUUCACCAUAACUUGCAUCCUAAUCUCUGGAGAAUUUUUGUCACAGAUUUGGAGAAGAUCUUCAGUAGUAAGAGAAAGAGAUUUGGUGGAGACUAGGUUGAGAAAAGUGAAUUUUAGAAGAGAGAAAAGGAAGGGACAGGUUGCUAGAAUUUUUGUAGAAGAAGAAAGAAGGCUAAAGUUAGGAGGCUUGGGUGUGGGGUUUCUUUGAAGUUUUGGAUGUGGGCUUCCAAGGUUUAAAGGGGAAGGAACUAAAGUUUAGAUGGCUGGAUUAUGAAAGAAAAAUAACCUAAGGCCAGCUAGGGUUUGGAGAUGGAAGAUGGGCAUGGAGAUGUGGAAGAAGGGGGAGAUUUUUAUGGCUUGGUGUUGGCUGGUUGUGUUUAG